GUAGGUGAACCUGCGGAAGGAUCAUUAACACGUCUAUUAUUAUCCAAUAAUAAUAUUACAAAAAACAAACGGUCACCUUUUUCCCUCCCUACUUCGUUACUGGAGACAGUACGAUUAGGCUAACCUUUUUUUACUAUUCAAACCCCUUUAAAUAAAAAUUUAACUAUUCGUUCUGCUGUAAAAGGCUUAACGAACUAACUAAAAUAUACAUUGAUUAUAUUUUUCUUUACGAAAUCAUAUAACAUAUAAGAAAACAACUCUUAGCAAUGGAUAUCUUGGUUCUC
rnacentral:misc_RNA from 1 species